rnacentral:lncRNA from 1 species
UAAUUAAAACCGUUAAAAUAAACUAUAUAUCUAAAUUUUGGAGUGAAAUAAUCAUUAAAUAGUUUAAAGUGAACAGAUGAAAAUUUUUGUAGAUUUAGUAGUUGAAUGGAAAUAGGUUGUGUAUAGUUCUGGUAAGUUUAUUUGUUCAUAUUUACUAAAACUAUUAAGUCAUGUCAAACUAGAUUGACUGGACUGAUAAUUUACUAGCGGAUCAUUUGGGAUGUCAAAAAUAGUGUCAUUUUUAAAAAGACUCGAUUAGACCCCAUGCUAGCAUUCAAUAAGAUCAGAUAGUUCACGACCUUGUGAAAGUAACUUCUCUCGGCAAAACAAUAUUACUAUAAAUAUAACUGCAAUUCUUUAAUUUUAUUUAUUUUAUUUUUUUGUUUUGUUCGAGAUUUUCUAUUGUCUUACUUCUGCAGCCUAAUUAAUCUUUUUAAUAAAUAUAGUGUGCUAUAUUUUAAAAAAAAUUAAGCGAAAUUUUUUUUUUUGUU